GAGAGAGAGAGAGAGAGACCGAGGGAGGCAACGCCGCCGGGUCCAGCCAGCCCAUCUUGCUGCAACUCCGCCUGGAGUGUCGGCACCUAUUCUCUCCCUGCUUCUCUCUGCACAGGGGCCAGUCGCUUCGUACUCCCUGGACACCUAGCCUGGGUGGAACAAGGGUCUCGAGUCGAACAGGGGGGUUACCCUUUACGGCGACUUUCUAAAGAUCACCCCUAGUGUAUUUGGACAAUACAUCGCCUUGGGAGUGGUGACGCCGCGACAGGCUUUGACUGCUUUUGGUUUACUUCUUUUUCCUCUGGUGAUCGGCAUUUGUUUCUAGGAGCCCCAUUCCCUUCUUUCUCCCCUCCCUCCUUUGUAGAAAGGACACAAGGGACACCUGCUCGCUUGUAUUCGAUGUUGGGACUCGCCUCUACUCAGUGGUGAGGGUGCAGCAGAGGGUUUCCCUUCCUUCCAGCACAGGAUGCCCAGCGGGGCGGCAGGUGGGCUGCGUGGGGCUCUGCCUGCGGCACUUGGAGGCCAGACAGAGGUGCUGCAGCUGGCCAGGAGUUGUUGCUAAGUGGACUCGCGUUGUUGGCGCAAAGUCUCCUAGAAGGCAGCAGCGGGACCUGCCUACGAACCGCGGACCAGGGGCACCGAACCCGAGGAACGCGGGAUCUUGUGGGGGGCCCUGGAUGAGCCCGAAGCCUCCUCUCCUUUCUGGCCCCGAGCACCCCCAGGAACUUCACAUUGGAGAUCCGCGACCUGCGCGAGCCGGGGAACUCGGGAAGUGAGAGGCGAGGCCGCUGCCCUGAAGGUGAAUCCUUCGGUCCAAUUGCCUCUCCCCGGGGAGUGAGGAGGAGGGCGGUCGAGAGGAAGCGAGGAUGUGUGAGCGCGCGCGUGUGUGAACGGGAGACGACGCCAGGCGAGAGGAAAAGUCUUCACUCGGGGUUAAAAGCAAACAAAUCAGAAAUGGAAUAAGGGCGGUAAUUGCUGCGAGCCCGCCUCGAUUUUCGCAGUCUGAGAGCGGAGCGCAUCCGGCGAGGACGCAGGCUGCCGCGAGCGCUGCCAAGGGCUGCGGGACCCCGGCUUUCUCCUCCGCAAAGAGAUCUUUUGAUUACUUUGACAUUGUGGGGAAAAGAAGAGGGAAGAGACCCGGCACGGGUAGAGACCGUCUACUGGCUUUAGGGAGGUUCCAGUUUGGAUGUGAAGCGAUUCCUGAACCCUCUUUCCCAUCGGAGGAGGAAACACACAGACACACAUACAUACACACGCGCGCGCGCGCACACACACACACACACGCACGCUCAGGGCCACACUCACGCCCUCCACGAGCACACACCGCCAGACUCCGGUUCCCUAUGCCCCUGGAUGGUGACGGCGGAUUGGCAUCUUGGAAGCGAUGCGAGAGCGAUAAGGCUGGCGUCGGCCCGCGGAAGCUGCAGGGACCUCGCUAGGUGUUGCUGCCACCGGGAAGCCCGGCUGCAGGAUGAGUAAGAGAUACUUACAGAAAGCAAUAAAGGGAAAACUGCUAAUAAUAAUAUUUAUUGUAACCUUGUGGGGGAAAGUUGUAUCCAGUGCAAACCAUCAUAAAGCUCACCAUGUUAAAACGGGAACUUGCGAGGUGGUGGCACUCCACAGAUGCUGUAAUAAGAACAAGAUAGAAGAACGGUCACAAACAGUCAAGUGUUCCUGCUUCCCUGGGCAGGUGGCUGGCACCACACGAGCUGCUCCCUCUUGUGUGGAUGCUUCCAUAGUGGAACAGAAAUGGUGGUGUCACAUGCAGCCAUGUUUGGAGGGAGAAGAAUGUAAAGUUCUCCCAGAUCGGAAAGGCUGGAGCUGUUCCUCUGGUAAUAAAGUGAAAACCACUCGGGCAAACGUGUAAAAUUCUUCAAGUUCGAAUGGAGAAGUAUAAAGUGAAGGUUUCUGCUGUGCCUGAUGACAGUUUUUGAUAUUUUCACUUUCAAAAAAUAUUUUGACUCCACAUUAGAGCACUAGUUGUGUUGAAUCCUAGUGUUGGUCGGAUUCUAAGGAAGGGACAGAAGUUUCCUUGAAAAGUAAAGAUUCAAAACAACUCCAGAAAUGAGCUUGCAUCUUGAUUUAUUUCUCACAGAGCAGCAGGUAACCCAUUAACCAAGGAUAAAUCAAGUGAUCCUCUGGGCUGAUUACAUUGAACAUAUGCAUAGAAACUUAACUUCUGAGAUGAUCUUGAAGAAGAUUUUUAUACUGCUCAGAAGAAGUGCUCCAGAGCCCAUUUCCAAGAGAUUCUAUGGCUCCUUACCAGCCUCUUCUUGAGAUCAAGACUUUUAAACAGUGAGACAUGAACUUCUAUAUCAUAAAGACGUCAUCAGAUUGGAACUGUGCUCAAGUUGUAAAGUUGCUAAGGAAAUCUGAAGUCACUGUCUGCAGAGCUGGCAGAGAGUUGAUGUUUUCAGGGUGACGUCAGAGACAGUCACCUUUUGGGUUCCUGGCUCCAAGCUCUAACUGCUCUUCUGGUUUCUGAAAGCUGUUUCCAAGUGCACUGUCCUUCUGUCAUGGAUGUGUUCCUGGGUUCUUGGUUCAUUGGCUAGUGAGACUAUUCAAGGCUUUGACGACAUUUCCUUUGCAAACUUCUCUGGCAUGGCAUAGACAGACAAUUUUGUUUGUAUCCUAAUCUUGGAGCUCUGAAAGCCUACUGUUUUGACACCUUAAAGUUGAUUUUAUUAAAGGAAUGGAAAUAUAUAUCCAUUGAUAAUAAUUAUUGUUGGCAAGUAAUAGUAAUCUGAAUACAUCAAUCAUAUAAGAAUGUAUAAACAAGCUGACAUGUUUCCCUGAGGCUAACAUGCUACUGCAGCUCUCUGUCAGUUAGAUAGGUACUAGUUAGAACUGGAUUACCAUUUUCAUUAUAUAAUAAUUUGCACCUCUAAAACACUCCCUUUCACUUUGUUUUUUGUAAAGUGAGCUUAUUUUUAAAUAUUUUUUAUGUGUAUUAACAUUCCCCCUUCACAGAAAUCAGCAGUGAGGAGCAGUCAAGUUAUUAGAUAGUUUUCAGUUUAAAAUUGCCAGGGAUGCAUGUGAGUUUCUGAUUUCUUAGCUUGAAUGUUAGUCACUUAGAUUUAUUCUGGUAUUUUUUUAAACUAUCUUCUCUUUCUUUUUAAUUUUAAAAGACUUAUCUCUUGCUUGAUCCUGAUGACUGUUUGAAUGCUUAUAUAUUUGUUGAGUCUGUUAAUAGAAUAAAUUGUUCACUUUUCUUGGUCACAAAUUUAUAAAUAUUUGCUUACAGUUGUUCCAUUCAAACAAUUUCUUAGGCCAGUAUUUUGUCCACAUUUUCAUAGCUUUAAUAUUUGUGGCUUUUGGUUCUACAGGAACGUCUUAUAAGUAUUUAAAAGCCUUAAACAUUUAUGUACUUUUUUCUAAGUUCUCACAGAAUGUAUAAUUUUAUACUACAUUUAUUUUGGUUCAUUUGUGAUGUGGGGGGAAAGAAGAAUGGAAACCACAUCCCCUUCUGUAAUAAUAAUUGUGUAAAUUUAUGAGUUGUAGGAAUGUGAAGGGAGGGAUUCUAUAUUUUACUGACUUUAGAGUAAUCAGAAGACUUUUCAGAAAUUAUCCUAUGGCAAUUUCAUUUUGCUGGAGAAGGUGUGAACAUAUCUUAUAUCUUUAGAACUCACUGACACAGCCAGUUAGGCAUAGGUUGGUUUCUGUGGUGGAGGCUCACAUGUCCUAAAGACCUUUGGACUGUUUGUAAUGAUAUUCAAAGACCAAUAAUUACCCAGACUCUACAAGAAAGAACAUAUGAAAGUGUAGAAUUUGUUGAAAAUUAAUUUGUUAAGUGUACUUUUGACAGUGAACUAAGAUCCCACAAGUAUGUGGGAUAAAAUUACUUUCUGCCUCCAUUUUAAUUAUGUAUAAAACUAAUUAGAUGGGUUUGAGUGGAUUUUGCAAUGGUUCAAGACUGUGUAAUCAUAAAGAAAGGAGUAACCGUUGUGCUGGAGUUUCUGCAUCAAUUAGAAUCUCAUUCAUUUCUUUGGAACAAAGUGGGAAACUAUAUUAUUUUGAAAAUUGUAAAUUUGUCCUACAUUUGUUUGAAAUUAUAGAUCAUGCUUCUCAUUUUUUAAACUUUGUCCUUUAAAACAACACUGGAAAUUCUGUAUUAUAUACAAGUGUAAUACAUGCAUAUCAAUAGAAAAAAAUAAAUGGAAUUUCAAAUACACUAACUAGAUUAUCCCCAGUAGAUUAAUGUUGUGACUACUCAGAAAAGGUAAAUAAAGUUGGGAUAUAAAAUGAA